GCUUGGAUCUAAAAAAGAAAGUUCAAUAUCUUAUACGUGUCAUCAAACAAACUGUCGCCCUAGUAAAGUAAUAUAACAUAAUGCGAUGAAGGUUAAAGAGGUUUAAGCAAAGUCAAAAAUUUCCUACCGCUUCUAAUAUCUAAUGUUGUAUCUGCCUUAACUUCCAAGAGAUUUAAAGAAGUACGGACGAACGAAACGGGGAAAUUCCGGCAUAACAACACAACAACAACAUUUUUCCUUAUUAGGACUAUAUGCAGGAGCAUACCAAUUCCUUGGUCUGAAAUUGAAAUUCACACUUUGUAUGGUGCGAAAAACAGGGAAAGGUUGAGUGUCCAUCUACAACUUAACAAGAGAAUUUCAGUUGUUUACCAAUUACUGAAUUCUCUUGCUCGUUAACAUCAACAACUUCAGUUAGCCUUGCAACAAUAGGCAUCCAUGGCCUUACGCUUCUACUUACUAUUGCCCUUAUGACUGGGACAAGCAUAGGUGUGCCAAUGGGUUCACCGUCUUCUAGCUAUGGUGGUUAUUCAUACCAGAUAACCACUGCUGCGCCGUACUACACCACGAUGUAUUCGUUUCCUACUUACUACACCACGUAUGCAGUACCGACUUACUAUACGGAGGCCCCGAAAUACUACCCCGCGCCGAACUAUUACAGAGAAGCGCCAGUGUAUUACAUUACAGCGUACGCUUCACCGUCUUACUACACUGAGGCCCCAAAAUAUUACGUAGCUCCAACCUACUUCACCGAAGCUGCCCCAUCUUACUACUCCUAGCCGACCAACUAUACUGAAGCCUCGAAGUACUACGCUGCCCCAAGUUACUACACCAUGGCUGCUCCUUCAUAGUACAUGGAACCAGGUAAUAUGAAUCCUUUUGUUUUAUCAUUUGCAGUCCUCGUUUCAAAAUGAGUAUUUCCCUGUCAAAUAUUUAUGCGUUCACUAGUCGUCCCAUAAGAAUGUGGUUUCUCAAUGAAAUGUUGAAUACAAAUAUAUAAUUAUCGACAUUAAUUCUGUAUCAAAUAUAGCGGUUGAAGGCGAUUCCGAUUGGUUUUUUUUACAACAUUGCAAUUCUGAACAUUAUUUUUCAAUUGGACAAUUUAGAGUUACAUCAUGAACAUUUGUGAA